GCUGUAGCUCAGCGGUUAGAGCAUCUGCCCGGCAUGCAGAAGGUCCCGGGUUCGACCCCGCCCCCGGCAUCUCCA